rnacentral:rRNA from 1 species
UACGUAGGGUGCAAGCGUUGUCCGGAAUUAUUGGGCGUAAAGAGCUCGUAGGCGGUCUGUCGCGUCUGCUGUGAAAACUCGGGGCUUAACCCCGGGCCUGCAGUGGGUACGGGCAGACUAGAGUGCGGUAGGGGAGACUGGAAUUCCUGGUGUAGCGGUGAAAUGCGCAGAGAUCGGGAGGAACACCAAUGGCGAAAGCAGGUACCUGGACCAUUACUGACACUCAGCUGCGAAAGCUAGGGGAGCAAACAGG